UUGAAACACCAGUUCUCAUUUGAUCACUAAAGUUAAGCAAAGUUGUGUCUGGUCAGUACUCAGAUGGGUAACUGCUGGGGAAUACCAGAUACUGUAAG